rnacentral:rRNA from 1 species
UACGUAGGGGGCAAGCGUUGUCCGGAUUUAUUGGGCGUAAAGAGCGUGUAGGCGGCUUUACAGGUCCGUUGUGAAAACUCGAGGCUCAACCUCGAGACGCCGGUGGAAACCGUAAGGCUAGAGUCCGGAAGAGGAGAGUGGAAUUCCCGGUGUAGCGGUGAAAUGCGCAGAUAUCGGGAAGAACACCCGUGGCGAAGGCGGUUCUCUGGGACGGUACUGACGCUGAGACGCGAAAGCGUGGGGAGCGAACAGG